rnacentral:rRNA from 1 species
UCUGGUUGAUCCUGCCAGUAGUCAUAUGCUUGUCUCAAAGAUUAAGCCAUGCAUGUCUAAGUAUAAAUAGUAUACAGUGAAACUGCGAAUGGCUCAUUAAAACAGUUAUAGUUUAUUUGAUAAUUGACAAUUACAUGGAUAACCGUGGUAAUUCUAGAGCUAAUACAUGCUUAAACGCCCGACUUUAUGGAAGGGUGGUAUUUAUUAGACUGAAGCCAAUAUUCCUUGUGUCUACUGCGGUGAUUCAUAAUAACUGAUCGAAUCUCUUUUUGAGAUAAAUCAUUCAAGUUUCUGCCCUAUCAGCUUUCGAUGAUAGUGUAUUGGACUACCAUGGCAGUAACGGGUAACGAAGAAUUAGGGUUCGAUUUCGGAGAGGGAGCAUGAGAAACGGCUACCACACCUAAGGAAGGCAGCAGGCGCGUAAAUUACCCAAUCCUGACUCAGGGAGGUAGUGACAAGAAAUAGCAAACCGGGAACCUCAUGGUUUCACGGUAUUGCAAUGAGAACAAUUUAAAACCCUUAGCGAGAAUCAAGUGGAGGACAAGUCUGGUGCCAGCACCCGCGGUAAUUCCAGCUCCACUAGCGUAUAUUAAAGUUGUUGCAGUUAAAAAGCUCGUAGUUGAACCUCUGUCUGGGGCUAGUUUUGGCUUUGGUCAGGCUAGUUCUAGGCAUCCGCCUACAAGACUUAGAGGGCAUUCAGUUGUUCACUAGGAGGAGUAGGCAUUUUACUUUGAAAAAAUUAGAGUGUUUAAGGCAGGCAAUCGCCCGCAUAUAUUAGCAUGGAAUAAUAGAAUAGGACACUUUUCCAUUUCGUUGGUUAUUGGAAUCGUGUAAUGAUUAAUAGGGACAGUUGUGGGCAUUUGUAUUUAAUUGUCAGAGGUGAAAUUCUUGGAUUUAUUAAAGACAAACUAACGCGAAAGCAUUUGCCAAGGAUGUUUUCAUUAAUCAAGAACGAAAGUUAGGGGAUCAAAGACGAUCAGAUACCGUCCUAGUCUUAACUAUAAACUAUUCCGACUCAAUGUUUGACUGGCUUAUAUAACCAGUUGAGCGUUGUAUGAGAAAUCAAAGUCUUUAGGUUCUGGGGGGAGUAUGGUUGCAAAGCUGAAACUUAAAGGAAUUGACGGAAGAGCACAACCAGGAGUGGAUUCUGCGGCUUAAUUUGACUCAACACGGGGAAACUUACCAGGUUAAAACAAUAGUGGGAUUGACAGUUUGAGAGCGCUUUCUUGAUUGGUUGGGUGGUGGUGCAUGGCCGUUCUUAGUUGGUGGAGUGAUUUGUCUGCUUAAUUGCGUUAACGAACGAGACCUUAACCUGCUUACC